UACGUAGGGGGCAAGCGUUGUCCGGAUUUAUUGGGCGUAAAGAGCGUGUAGGCGGCCCGGUAAGUCCGCUGUGAAAGUCCAGGGCUCAACCCUGGGAUGCCGGUGGAUACUGUCGGGCUCGAGUCCGGAAGAGGCGAGUGGAAUUCCUGGUGUAGCGGUGAAAUGCGCAGAUAUCAGGAGGAACACCGAUGGCGAAGGCAGCUCGCUGGGACGUGACUGACGCUGAGACGCGAAAGCGUGGGGAGCAAACAGG
rnacentral:rRNA from 1 species